rnacentral:rRNA from 1 species
CCUACGGGGUGCAGCAGUGGGGAAUUUUGGACAAUGGGCGCAAGCCUGAUCCAGCUAUUCCGCGUGUGGGAAGACGGCCUUCGGGUUGUAAACCACUUUUGUAGAGAACGAAAAGUCUGUUGAUAAUACCGAUAGAUGAUGACGGUACUCUAAGAAUAAGCACCGGCUAACUACGUGCCAGCAGCCGCGGUAAUACGUAGGGUGCGAGCGUUAAUCGGAAUUACUGGGCGUAAAGGGUGUGCAGGCGGUUUUGCAAGAUGGAUGUGAAAGCCCCGGGCUUAACCUGGGAAAGCCAUACAUGACUGCAAGACUAGAGUGCGUCAGAGGGGGGUGGAAUUCCAAGUGUAGCAGUGAAAUGCGUAGAUAUUUGGAAGAACACCGAUGGCGAAGGCAGCCCCCUGGGACGCAACUGACGCUGAGGAGCGAAAGCGUGGGUAGCAAACAGGAUUAGAUACCCCGGUAGUC